AAUAUUUCACAAUGGGCGAAAGCCUGAUGCAGCAACGCCGCGUGAGUGAUGAAUGCAUUCGGUUCGUAAAGCUCUUUGAUCAGGGAUGAUAAUGACAGUACCUGAAAAACAAGCCACAGCUAACUACGUGCCUGCAACCGCGGUAAUACGUAGGUGGCGAGCGUUGUCCGGAAUUACUGGGCGUAAAGGAUGCGCAGGUUGAUACUUAAGUGGGAUGUAAAAUCCCCGGGCUCAAACCGGGAACUGCAUUCCAAACUGGGUAUCUAGAGUGAAGGAGAGGAAAGCGGAAUUCCUAGUGUAGAGGUGAAAUGCGUAGAUAUUAGGAGGAACACCAGUGGCGAAGACGGCUUUCUGGACUGUAACUGACACUCAGGCAUGAAAGCGUGGGUAGCAAACAGG
rnacentral:rRNA from 1 species